CCAUUCCCGACCCUUCAGACCCGGAGCAGAGCCCCAAAAAACCCAUGUCCUCUUCUGAACCCAUCCUGGACCUCAAGGGAGACACGGCGGAAGCAAUUCCAGAGAAGCCGGGAGGAGCAGGGGAGCAGAGCUGCUGCCCACCAGGGGACACUGCAGGGAGGGAACAAUCCACGGAACACUCGGAACCGACGCCAGCAGCCCUGGCGGCGGCGGAGCGGCGGGAGCUCCCCGUGUCGGGGGAGGCCGCGGCCGGCCCCGGGAACGCCGCUGGAGGCCCCGGCCCUGAGGGGCCCGCCCCGGCUCCCCGCUCGGACCAGCCGGGCGCGGACACAGACACCCGGCCGGAGGAGAAGGAUCCCAGCCCCACCAAGUCCCCGCCGUGGCCAGCGGCUCCCGAGGAAGCCCCAGCCCGCCCCAACACCCUGGACUUCUCCAAGUCCCUGACGAGGGCGGAGGAGGCGCAGCCGGCGGGGCCGCGGCGGGGCAGCGGCCGGGCCGCGCUCCAGGAGAACGGCGGGGAGAUCCCUGCGGAAACCACCGCGGCCGCCAGCGAGGAGCGCCGGGCGCUGCAGUCCGAGCUGGGCAAGUGCAUCGAGGAGUUCCGCAGGAUCAAGAUCCCGGUGGCCUUUCCCAACAAGAAGCGGCAGUGGCAGAGCGAGCUGCUGAAGAAGUACCAGCUCUGAGGGGGGAUCCCGUCUCCCGUCCCAGGGAAUGGUGCUUUCCAGGCUGUUGGGUGGCUGUCCCAGCAGUGGCACGUGUUGUCCACGCUCCCAAAACGAGGAGCAGAGGUGGCUCAUGAAGCCCGUGCAGAUGUUGGGAGGGUCACAAGCCUGUUCCCACCACGGCCAUCAAGGGGAUGCUCCAUGGCCCCAGUGGCACAGGCACAGCUGGAGGGGGUAGGACAAGGAAUGCUGCCCAGGGUGAUGUUCAGGACCAGCAGAAAUUCCCACAUUUCUGAGACUGAAUUUCCCUGGCGUUCC
rnacentral:lncRNA from 1 species